UCGCGGCUUAUCACCGGCAGUCCCCCUAGAGUGCCCAACUGAAUGAUGGCAACUAGGGACAGGGGUUGCGCUCGUUGCGCCACUUAAGGCAACACCUCACGGCACGAGCUGACGACAGCCGUGCACCACCUGUGUAGGGCCCUUGCGGACACCGUGUCUCCACGGCUUUUCCCUACAUGUCAAGCCCUGGUAAGGUUCUUCGCGUCGCGUCGAAUUAAGCAACAUGCUCCGCCGCUUGUGCGGGCCCCCGUCAAUUCCUUUGAGUUUUAGCCUUGCGGCCGUACUCCCCAGGCGGGGCGCUUAUUGCGUUAGCGACGGCACGGGAGGAGUCGACACCUCCCACACCUAGUGCCCAUCGUUUACAGCGUGGACUAC
rnacentral:misc_RNA from 1 species